UAAAUGUUUCUUGUCAGACUUAAAGGGCCUGUUCUGUCAGUCUUCAGGUCCUGUGUUGAUGGUAAUGCUGGUCAUCUGUGCCUGAAUUCCAACGGGAGGAGAGUAUAAUGAAGAAUGUCCUACUCCCACUCCCACUUUCCAUCAUGGCCUCAACUAGUUUCUCAGUUGACCCUUGAGCAACAUGAGAGGUUAGGAGAGAUGACACCUCCACCUGCACCCCUGCCCCCACCCCUCACAGUUGAAAAUCCUCCUAUAACUUGACUUCUCAAAAACUGAACUACUAAUAGUCUACUGUUGACUGGAGGCCUCACUGGUAACAUAAAGGGUUGAAUAACAAACAUUUUGUAUGUUAUAUGUAUUAUAUGCUUUAUUCUUACAGUAAAGUAAGCUAAAGAAAAGAAAAUGUUACUAAGAAAAUCAUAAGGAAGAGAAAAUACAUUUACUAUCAAGUGGAAGUGGGUCAUCACACAGGUAUCCUUGUCAUCUUCAUGUUGAGUAGGUUAAGGAGAAAGAGGAGGGGUUGUCUUGCUGUCUCAAAGGGGUGGCAGAGGUGGAAGAAAAUCUGUGUACAAGUAGACCUGAUGUUGUUCAAAGGUCAGCUGCACUUAAAUUUUAAUGUUUUCAUUUGAGCACGUCAGAGAUGCCGUUAAAAAUGACUCAGAGUACUCGUGCCCUUUCUGUGUAAGUAAUGAUUGAUUGGUUGUUGCUAAUUCAUUUCUGACUCUAAUUCCAUUUUUUAAAAAGCCUACCUGUAUAAUAUUUUAGG
rnacentral:lncRNA from 1 species